CUCUAGUAACUUGGAGGCAUGCCUGUCUGAGCGUCAUUUAAAACCAUAGACCCAAUUGGGUUUGUAUUGGGCUUUGCCUCUGGGCGUCGCCUCAAAGUCAUCGGUCUUGAACGCGGACGAGUUCCAUUAGGACAGACCGUGUCUAGACUUUAAACCUCUGACUUGACCUCAGAUCAGGUAGGAUUACCGCCUGAACUUAA
rnacentral:misc_RNA from 1 species